GACGAACGCUGGCGGCGUGCUUAACACAUGCAAGUCGAACGGCAAGGCCCUGCUUUUGUGGGGUGCUCGAGUGGCGAACGGGUGAGUAACACGUGAGUAACCUGCCCUUCACUUUGGGAUAACUUCAGGAAACUGGGGCUAAUACCGUAUAGGAGCUCCUGCUGCAUGGUGGGGGUUGGAACGUUUCGGCGGUUGGGGAUGGACUCGCGGCUUAUCAGUUUGUUGGUGGGGUAGUGGCUUACCAAGGCUUUGACGGGUAGCCGGCCUGAGAGGGUGACAGGCGACAUGAGAGCGGGGACAGGGACAAGACGACUAAGGGAGGGAGCAGAGUGGAAUAGGGGACAACAGGCGGAAGUAUGACACAGUGAGACGGAGCGGGAGAAGAAGGCCUUGGGGUUGGAAAGACGGUUUGUGGGUAAAGAAAAGCAGCAGGUUAAGACCAAGCGGGACUGACGGUAAUCAAAGAAGAAGCACCGGCUAACUACGUG
rnacentral:rRNA from 1 species